rnacentral:pre_miRNA from 1 species
CCUCGUUCCGCUUGAGUUGUGAUGACAGAUUCACUGAUGCAUCACAACCAACGUGAAUGCGGUC